rnacentral:tRNA from 4 species
CACUGUGAAGCUAAUUAGCAUUAACCUUUUAAGUUAAAGACUGAGAGCUUAGAUCUUUCCACAGUGA